rnacentral:lncRNA from 1 species
UUCUGUUCAUAUGUGCUACGAGACAAAUAUAUAUAUAUAUAUGUAGAUGUAGGUAUAUAUCAAUCUGCUGAAAUAAUCAAAACCCAGUUAUUUAUGUAUACACAUAUAUACAUAAAUAUAUGUAGUCAUAGAUAAUCAAAACCCUAAUUACAGAUAUAUGCAGUUAGGGUUAGUAUGUACGAAUUUAUAGAUGGAAGUACCAGGAUUCUUGUUUUUGCUUUUGUGGUUCAACGAGAGGACCCUGUGUGUGUGUGUGUAUAUAUAUAUAUGAAGAUGGAGAGAAUUAGAUAUAUAGGGUGAUAUAUAUUGAUGUAUGCAUAAUUAAAGGGAUUUAACGGAGAGUGAAGUAUGGGAGCACUAAAAAGAGGCAAGACAGGGUGGGGGAAUCACCAUGUUGUGGCGCAAUUUGGGAGAGACGACCGCGAGCACCAAACCAGUAAUUAUAAUUAUUAAGGCCAUUAAUUUGUAAAUAAUUUUCAAUAAUUAAUCAUGGUUUGUG